GUGCCACAGGGAGGAUAAAUGAUAACCGGAAAUCAGUAUUUCUCAAGUAGAAAGCUAGUACUAUUUAACACAACUUCACAAUACUAAACCAAAUACAAAUGAGAAAGGGUUAGGUAGUUGGGCUUCAUUUACUUUUUUUUUCUUUUUUGUAAAUAUCUCAAAAAAAGAAGCCACUUGCUUGAUAUCAAAAGUGCUGUGGAAAGAAAGGAGGGGAAAAAAACCCACAGAUGAAUCUGGAAUUUAGUUUAUUUUAGCAAAUUGUAUGUUUUCCCACUUAACAUUUCUAUAUUAGCAAUGAUGUAACUCUCCAACAUUUCCUUAUAAAAAAGGCAAACAGGAAACAACUCAUGCUCCAAAUAUUAAAAAAUAUAUUUAAACAUUUGAUCAAGAUUUUAUAUGGUUUGGUUUUUGGUAACACAGGUGACACCAGAAAU
rnacentral:lncRNA from 1 species